GACGAACGCUGGCGGCGUGCUUAACACAUGCAAGUCGAACGGAAAGGCCCUGCUUUUGUGGGGUGCUCGAGUGGCGAACGGGUGAGUAACACGUGAGUAACCUGCCCUUGACUUUGGGAUAACUUCAGGAAACUGGGGCUAAUACCGGAUAGGAGCUCCUGCUGCAUGGUGGGGGUUGGAAAGUUUCGGCGGUUGGGGAUGGACUCGCGGCUUAUCAGCUUGUUGGUGGGGUAGUGGCUUACCAAGGCUUUGACGGGUAGCCGGCCUGGGAGGGUGACCGGCCACAUUGGGACUGAGGUACGGCCCAGACUCCUACGGGAGGCAGCAGUGGGGAAUAUUGCACAAUGGGCGGAAGCCUGAUGCAGCAACGCCGCGUGCGGGAUGACGGCCUUCGGGUUGUAAACCGCUUUAGCCUGUGACGAAGCGUGAGUGACGGUAAUGGGUAAAGAAGCACCGGCUAACUACGUG
rnacentral:rRNA from 1 species